CUGGUCUGACAGCAGGAAGUUCUGCAGAGAUGGAGGAGCUGAUCUGAUCAUUAUCAACACUGAAGAGAAGCAGAGGUUCAUAACUUCAUUCGUCAAGGAGAGUGUGUGGAUUGGUUUGACUGACUCUGAGACUGAGGGGAUCAUGAAAUGGGUGGAUAAUUCACCACUGAAACAAGGGUUUUGGUUCGAAGGUCAGCCGAAUAGCCGUGCUGGAGAUGAGGACUGUAUUGUACUGGAUCCAGACACAAUUCUGAACAACUGGCAUGAUUACCCAUGCUCAGAUAGGAUCAAAUGUAUUUGUGAGAAAUAGGUUUCAUCCAUUCCUGUCAUGCUUUUACUUAUAUUAUCUUAUGGAGUCAAUUUUAUUCCAAUCACAUAAUUCAUUAUUAC